rnacentral:lncRNA from 1 species
GGGACGGCAGUGCGGCGCGGACCGGAGGAGCCAUCUUGUCUCGUCGCCGGGGAGUCAGGCCCCUAACUCGAAGAAGCCCUGGCGCGCCCUCCCCCCCUCCCCGGUCUGGUAGGGCGAAGGAGCGGGCGCGCGGUCGAUCGAGCGAUCGGUUGGCGGCUCUUUCUCCUGCUCUGGCAUCCAGCUCUUGGGGCGCAGGCCCGGCCGCCGCGGCGCGCGCCCGGUGGCCGUUGGCGUUCGCGCCGCGUCUUUCUUCUCGUACGCAGAACUCGGGCGGCGGCCUAUGCGUUUGCUAUCCGACGAGGAGUCGUCCGGGUGGUCGGCGGCGGCGGGCAGUUGCUCCGCCCCGCUCCUGGGGAGGCGGCGGCGGCGGCGGCGGCGGCGGCGGGAUUUGGCACGGCCGGGGAAGCUGGGGUGGCCGGGGCCGGCCUGGAGGCCUGGCACCACCCUUCGGGGCCUGCAAGGACCCAAUUGGGGGGACAGGAGGGAGCCGGGGGAUGGUUGGUGGUGGGCUUUCUACUUUGUCUUUUCCUCCUUAUGCCGCCUUAGUGAGGGGCGGGAGCGCUGGAGGCCGCUCCGGGGUGGAGAGACAAGCUCCGGAGUCGGAAGAGCUGGGUUUGCUUCCGGGCCUAACCACCAGCUGGCCGAGUGACCUUAGGCAAGUCACUCUGUAAUUUGUCUGCGCCUCAGUUUCCUCCUUCUCCAUCAAUGUUUGUGGGAUUGAAAGCGCUUUGUAAACUGUAAAGCGUCGCUGUAUGUAAGGGAUGAUUAUUGUUCGUAAUGGCUUGGUUUUUUGUUUUUUGUUUUUUUUUUUGGAGUUGUAAGAAAACUUAGAAAUUGCCCAAUCCUUGGAUUUUGAACCUGGAAACCUUGGAUUGGAGGUGGAGAUCCCCAAACUCCUUGAAAUUGUAUGCAGAAAUUAGGGGGAAUGUGCAUUUUAGAGAAUGAGAAGCCAUCGCCAGCAAGUUUUCAUUGGGGGCUGUGACCCAGAAGAAUUAAGAACCACAUUUCCUUUGUCACAAGGAGGAAACUGAGGCCAGAUGUCAUUUGGGACCCUUCACAACCAAUUCGAAGCCCCUGUUUGAAUCCCUGAGAUAUGUGAGCUGUUCUGUGCAUAGUGGAUAUUCGUGGUAACAACACUCCACUUCUUGGCUUCUAUUUUGAGUUCUUUCACCAUGGGUUGCCUAAAGGGUGACUGAUGCUUAAAGGUACAGUGGCACCCAGCAUAAAGCAGCUAAAACUGGGCAUGGAUAUGUUCUCUAGUAUCAAGAAGCUUAUUUAAUCUUUGGCCCAACAACUUUUUUUUUUCUGGUGCCUGACUACCUUUCUGACUCUUCAUUGACCAUUUUCUAUGACCAUGGUUGCCAUCCGUUACUUUCCCCUAUUUUAUAUUCCUAGUCUGUGUGGUUGGUAGUGAGCAGGCUUGUUUUUAAAUGGUGCUGCCAAGUCCAACUAAUUAAUGGUGCAGGUGGAUUUUUAGCAAGCUGGCUCACUAGAACAGACUGAACCAGGCAUGGAAUUCUUGAAAAUGUUUGGGGGGUUGAGUCUUUAUUAAUUGAAGGUUAACGUUUUCUGAGAAGUUUUGUUAGAAUUUUCUGCUGAACCUCAAAAUCAGAUUGAAAGUGUUUCAACCUUAAAUUUUUUCUGGUCUGCUUUGUAUUCUAUUUGCUUGCAAGUGUGUUACUAAGAUGGCCAAAAUGCCAGUUUUUGCUUCUUUGUUAAUUGUCAGCUGCUUUUAUCAAAUAUCAGGCAGUUAUCCAGCAAACACUAUAGAAAUGUUUGAACAGUUGGCUUUCAAACAUUUUCAUUUUGUGGAGUGGUGCUUACCAUUGGUACAGCUCUAAGCAAGCAAACGCAAACACUUUUAAGUGUAUUUUGUCUGUUAGGUGUUAGCCGGUUCUGCUAUUUCAUACAAAUGUCUGGAAAUCAAUUGACUAUUCCCUUUACCUAGAGGGCAGAGACAAAUGAUCUCAAUUCCAGAGAAAUGACUGUUUUGGAGAAAACUGUGUUGGUCUUUUAGCUCUUUUGUAAUUAAAUCUGGAUGUACCUCAAAAGAAUCUUAAGACUGGUGAUAAAAUGCUUUCCUCAGGAGAAAGGAGGAAAAAAACCAACUGGAACUCAAAGCUUGAAAUUCUUUGACAAACAUAAGAUAUCCAGGAUGGGAAGUUGAAAGGGUUUCACUACAUAGCGUUCUGCACUAGCUGGAGCAGAUGUCUUUCAGUGUGGUUAUGGCGUGGACUUCAGAUUUUCAAGAACUGGAUCUGGGACCUGGAAGAAUUAUCAAGAUGUGACACGAAGUUGGGAGCUGGAUUUUUUUAUUUUUGAAUUUAUGGACUCUUGUCCUUGCUUUGAGAAAAGACAAUGACUGAGCAAGCACUGCCACCAGCGCUGUUACUGGGAAUUCGGAGACCUGAGUUUUUGCCAGAUCCUCGGUGCAAACUCUGGCGACGCUCCAUCCAAAGUGAAAAACGUCUUGUGCCUCCUGGUUGCCGAGUAUUCACCUGGACCUUCUAACCACCUUCCUUGAGCUAUUCCAUCAGCCUUCAUAUCUGAUACCUGGAAUUUUGCCCAUGGUGAUUCCUGCCACCUUACUACUGAAGAAGACAACCAUGCCAGUGAACCACUGUGACUCGAGGCAUCCAGCAAAUUUGAAUCAUCAUCAUGUGGCCUUCACCUCCACUCCUGUCCUGUUCUACCCAGAUUCAACACAGCCCUUUGUAGUGAAGUCAAACUCCUCAAGCCAAAUAGCUGAAGCUGUUUUAUCACAAUUAAGGCUCAGUUUGUUCCAUGAGUGUGCUUUCGUUUCUUCAGUUAAAGCCUUCAGAGACACAUAAUAAAUUUGGACCAGGGGAUUUUAGUUAUCAACACUGUCUGAAGAAUGGCACCAUCUUUUUGAGAACCACAUUGAACCCCGCCCCAAAAUCUCAAAUGAUUGAAGUUCAUGAAGUAUCUAAGAUCCCAUCCAAGUCACUGAACUCUGUUUUUCCAUUUCAAAUCUGUAGUAUCCUACUGAAUAAGCAAGCAGAUAUUCUGACCGUUUGGGAUUAAAACAAAGGCACAGUGAACUCAGAGCAUCCUUGGGAUUACUCAGGAACCAGAACUUUUCACACAAAUGUAAGAAAUUCUACCAAGAUAUCCCUUUACCUAACAGCAUCUCACAAAGCUCCAAUCAGAUUCCAGAAAAGGCCUCUUGAUACAUCCAGGUAGAACCUAUAUGGUAAUCCCUUAUGUUUAUAUAGCACUUUACAGUUUCAAAAGCACUUUUACAUGCAUUAAUCUCAAUUAUCAAAUAACACAGUUAUAAUCCUGUUUUGCAAAUGAGGAAAUGGAAAUUUAAAAGGUUGUCCAAGGUUAAACAGAUACAAAAUAGUAGAAGCCAGGCCUUCUGACUCCCAGUCCAGUUCUCUCCUUGGAAUUAACUUAGCCUCUAUUUUACCCACAGUGUUAAAAUAAAUGGAGAUUGAGAACCUCAGAAAAGUUUCCAACUUCCUGAUCUGGUACCCCCAGUCAGUCAGGAUAAUCUUGUGCUGGCUGUAGCUAGACCAGAAUUCUAUGGCAACAUCUCUGAAGUUUAGCAAUAGACUGUCUCCAUGAUGGUAGAUUGUCCAGUCAGUAAGGCAAAUGUUCAUCUGACAAUAAGAUUACCCAGCAUGAAAUAAAGCAACUUUUAAAUCUUUCUUCAUCUUCAUAGUCUUCCCAAAAAUGGCCUAAUUAAUUGGGGAUCCCUAUUCAUAUCAUGUCUUUUUUUUUUUUUUUAAGUCUUAUUAAUAUUCCUGAACAGCAAGGUCUUACCUAUGAUCCGCUAUCCCCAAACUAUUAUUUACAUAAUAUGAGCCAUCAAUUUUUUUAGAACAGUACUGUUCAUAUAUAUAUGUGUGUGUGUAUUUAUGUAUAUAUUUGAUAUACACAUAUAAUAUAUAUCAUAGAGCUUCUGUAGUCCAAUAGGUGGUAAAAUGUGUACCCUUCCCUGAUACAUAAUGCAGUGUAGUGUAUUAAAGGAUUUCAGAAGGUUUGCAGUAAAGAGCCUCAUUUAGCUGUUUAGUCCAGUUGUCCCAAGUUUAAUGAAACACAGAAUGUUACUUUUGCAGCAUUGUUUUUAAUGGAAUGGGAAAACUGCUUUGGAGCAGUAAAACCAGUGCUUGCUGAUUGGCAGCAAAUUGCCCUGGAGACCCAGAAAUAAACAGCAUCUUUGAACCCACCCUUUUUCUUACCUUGUCAGUAACUUCUUGAAUUAGUGUGUCUCCAUCAUCUGAGAGCCCCACAUCUUGACAGUUGUGUUCAUUUUCUAUCAAAGGAACCUCUAGGAGGUUUGUGUCGAUGCAUGGGAAGGGAAUGGGGGGAGUUAAUUCUGCCACGAAAUUAUAUGAAUUCCAUGGCUUUUAGCAGUAUACAUCUCUGUCUCCAGAAUUGUGUUAUAAACCUAGUUCAAGGGCAUUGCAUCUCAGGUGGGUGAGGAGACUGGGAAGGGAGGAGGAAAAGGAUAGAGAAAAGGGGAAGAAGGGGUGAAAAGAUAUUGCUUAGGAUUUGAGUUUUGGCCCACUGAGAUCUUACUAGUCUUUGAAGAGAAGUCAUCCAGCUCAGGACUUCUUGGAAUAAUAUUUACAAAGAAAUGAAUGCAUUUUGUGGCUAUAUGCUGACUGCAAAAACCCCAGUAUUAUUGUCACUUAAAACCAAUAGCCUCACUUACAAGCCCAGUUUCAGGCAAUCCGAAUUUGUAGCAGACUUGAAUGUUAACUUCAUCAUUCUAUAAUGUGGCGUACGUUAGGGGAAGAAUAAAUAGGAAAACACUUUCUAGGCUUACCACUUGGCUUUGCUUAUACAGUUUCUGGUUUCUGUGACCUAUUUUUUGUAUUUCAGCAUUUUGUGAACAGCUUAUUCUUAGAUCAUUGGUUUUCCAAAGGCUUUGUGGCCAUGAAGCCCUUUGAAUGAAUGCUAUACGGAAGACCAGAGUUAAAGUGAAGCUGCUCUGGAAGAAGCAGAAGUGGGGGGCCUGAAACCUGCCACAAGCAUCUUACUUUACCACCAUGGUGACACCUCAGGAGACUUCUUUACAGCACCUAGAAUUCUUCAGAACACAGUUUGAAAACCACUGCCCUAGACGACAUUGUGUUCAACUUGAAAGGCAUUCUGUUCUGUACCUCUACCCAACACCAUCCAUGUUCAGUUGAUGUUCAACAUCAUUAAGAAUACUUAACUGUGGGUAAACUCAGAAAAGUACAAGAAGAUGGGCAUAUCUUUGCCCAUCUGCCCUUUGCCCCUAGAUGGACUUCCAGUGAUUCCUAGAAUUGGAUAUAGCUAGAGAGCAAUUCAUACAUACUCUACACUGAUAAACCCCUUUACCCAGUUUCUUUUUAUAAACACCAGAUACUCUAGUGGUACUUGAAAUACAUGACCUCGAAGUCUUAAUCCUCCUUGGAUACAUGAAUGACGUGGUAUUGAAGUUGAUGCCUCAUUGAGGUCAUAUUCAACCAACUAUACAUUGGACCUCCUGUCAUCAGCCAUGGUACUCUACUUUGUGUGCAAGGGAUAACCAUUAACUGUGAAAGUAGAAUUCAAAUAUUGGCAAUGUUACCUAAAAGGGUACAUGGUUUUAUUCACCUUCUCAAACUAUAAGUUACUGUCACUCAACCAGUGGCAGUUACACUGCUCCUUGGUUUUUAAUUCAGUUUGAUUGCUGUUUCCAGGAUUUAAUGAGCUAAUAAUCCUUAAGAAAAAUUGCUAAAACAAUUCCUCCAUCACUGGCAUAUCUGCCUAUUCUGCUCUAAAAUUACAAUACUCAGCUCAACUACAUGUAACACCUGAUCCACAGGAGACAAUAUCUGAACAUACUUUCUUGUGAUUUAAAAUGUGGCCAUUUGCAAAACUUUCUUCCAAACAACGGGAGAUUUUAAGAUGGGUCUUUUAAUGUUUCUUCCAAACAACUGUAGAUGUUAAGGAUAUUUGGAGGUAGGCCUUUUGACCAGGCCACAGUAGCUUACUCGGAGGGCAUGUCAGAUUGCAUGUCAUCUACCUUUUUGCUGGAAAUGUAGACCAACUUGAAAGAAAAUCUGCAAAGCCUGUGGCUACAGAUUUUAUGAGUAGACUCAAGAGCUUCCUGAUGCUUCUUAAUGUCACAAGACCACAGUCCCUUAUCCUUAUGGAUAUUUCCAUGGAAUUUCAUCUGUCUCAAUACUGUUUUACACUGAAUCAGAGUGGCUGACUUCAUUCCUCGUCUUGAGAUACUCUUGGGCAUUAAGACAACCCAUAUGUCUCUGCAGGAGGGAUUCAAUUAAUGAACUCCCAGACCAGAUCAUGUAGAACAAGUAGACUUCACUUUGUGUCAUGAGAAAAAAAAAAAUCUCAUUUCUUUACUUCAGAGUCAACUUAAGGGCCAGCUGUCCUCAACUACUUUAAUGAAUGCACUGGUUAAAUGUUGGGAAUGGUUUCUUUAUAUCUUUGUCUCAUCCUCUGUACUAACUGACUCAGUCUUCAAAUCAUCAAACAGGGCCUAAGUCUGAUUACUCUGUACUGCUCAACCCUCAACAAAUUAAAAUCUGAUGACCAGCCUGCUUGUAUAUGCAACUAUUAUUUGUAAAGAAGAAGCUUAUCUGCAGACUCAUUGUUUUCUACCUUGAAAAUGUCAGCUUGACUUUCCUUUUCUCCUGUACUUGACAGAAAAAGACAUUGAUCUACACUGCAAGUCAUUCCUUUCAAUCCUGUCAAAAUGAGGGACCUAAAAUGAAAAUGAUCAUCUAUUCAAGAGUCUGAUGUACACUGUGUAUAGGAAUUGAUGAUUCAAAAAGCCUAAAACUCAAACCUUUUAUCUUCAUGCCUCAAAUCUCAUCUAAAUCUUUUAGCAGUACCAUUCAACCAGUCUGAGGCCUUGAUGUCCUUGUAAGACGAUUCUCAAGAGAUGUGCUGAGUUCCAGAAGAUGGAGACUUGAUUACCAAAGAAAGUAGGGCCAACCUUGAUGAACCUGGCUCUCCCAACCCUGUCACUCCCAGAUGUAGCAUAGACUCCUAAACAGAACCCUCAAGUCUGUAUCGAGGAUAUAACCCUCUGAGCUGAAAGAUCUUGGGCAGAUGAGCAGGAAAAUGAAAGUUGCUGUACCUGACUGGCCCAGUAUGAUCAGAAAAUUGUAUCCAGAGUAAACCCUAUGGAUUAAUAACCCUGGAGUACUCAGGGUAAAAACUAAUUUACAGAGCUUUGAUAUUAAACUGCCUGUUCUUCCAGAUCAUAGCCUGGCUAUUGAUAUGGCUGGCCCUGCUUGCCUCUUUACCUAACUCAGCCCUUGCCUGCCUUUUUGACUGCAGUCCAACUGGCUGUGCUUGAUAAAACUACAGCUGAUCUCAACCUAUCUUAUACCCAGUUCCACCAAGGAGUUUUGAACAGAAGCACCCUGCACCCCACCAUGACUUAGUGUUCACUGCAGGAAGGAGCAUGCUUUUUUUUUUUUUUUUUUAAUUUUAUCUUUUUUAAUACUUGGGACCCUUUCUACUAGGCCUGGAGGAGUACAGCAGAUUGAAAGCAUUGCCCAUUCUCUCUUCUACAGUAAUACAGAGAUGAAGCUGAUUCACCAGGACUCACAGAAAUGUACCGAUUCAACUUGGCAAAAGACAUGAACACAAGAAACUUUUCCACUAAACUUAAAAUUCGCCACUGACUUGAAUAGCCUCAUAGAACUAUUUGCCAGUAGAAGGCUGGUUGUCCUGCUUCAUGUCAGCAAGACAGCUGGACUCUCACACAUGACCACUGAGUUUGCUUACAUCGAAACUGUUGUAUCAUUCAAAGUAUCUACUGGACAUGAUUAUUCCAUUCAAAUGGAUUACAAGCUUCGAGUAGAAGACAGACUUACUCCUCAUGAUUUUUUCCAGAAUGCUCCUAUUGUCAAGGAAGUCUACACCAGCUGUUAACCAUUCAACUCUAUGAGCAGAGAUUAAAUUUUUUCAAUAUCUGUUCUUAUCGUUGACAUCAGUUGUUUUUGAUUGACCAACACCUAUUCCAUCUCUUUAUAAAUAAAAACAACUCCCUGAUGCUUCUUGGAACCACCUCUCUCUUUUUCAAUUCAUGUGGUUCAGUCUGACCUAACCUUAGGUUUCAUGGGUGGACAUGUAAUUCAAACCUGAUCAGUCAGCAAAAUCCAUCUCCUUGACCAUAGUGAUUGGUUCAGGAAUGAUCAUGUGAUUCAAGUUGGUCCAGUGAUUACUUAAUCCUGAGAGUUUUAGUGAACUGUGUAGGAGAAGCUCAGAGGCUGUUUACUGAGGUUGCUUAGCUCUGUAGGAUGAAAAGCUCAAACCAACAGGGCCUACCAUAUCAAAUAAGCCAGUCAGAGAAUGAAGCCAGUGCAGAGGAAGGCGGAGCCAAAUGAUGGAGAGACUUAAGUUCUGAUGAUAAUUUUUUGUGCCCCUGGAUCCAACCGUGCCUGAAGCUAGAAUAUCCCCUGGACUUUUCAGUUAUGUAAACCAAUAAAGACCCUUUUUUGCUUAAGUUACUUUGAGUUUGGUUUCUAUUACUUGAAAUUGAGUCUGAAUAUGCUAUCUACCAAUAUGGAAGUUUGACAGAUCCAAGUAUUAAUUAAACUAGAGGUCAAGGCCACACUGAAAUUAUUUUUCAAUCUAGAAGAUAAAAAAAACAGGAACUGACAAUGUUUUAUGUUUACAGAGCAUAAAAAUUAAUUACAUGGUAGAAAAAAUACAGAAGAAAACCUAAAUGUUUAUCAGUGAAGAAUUGGUUAUGUACCACAUGGCUUAGCCAUAUAAGAAAAUCGACGUGUCUGUUAAAAUGAAUAAAGUACAUUUAUUGUGUAUGGGCAUGGAAAAAUGGCCAUAAUAUAUUAAGUGAAACAAACUUGCUAGAAAAAUUUGUAGUAUGAACUCAUUUAAGAAUUUGUGUGUUUAUGUUCAUAAUGCAUAGAAAAGUCUAUAAAUGGCCUUUUUGUGAACAGUGUAGAUUACAUGGAACUUUCAACUUUAUACAUUUCUGUAUUUGAAUAUUUUACACUACUCACAUUACUUUUAAACUUUAUUUAAAAAUAAAGAAUUUUUAAAAUUAA